GAUGAACGCUGGCGGCGUGCCUAAUACAUGCAAGUCGAGCGAACAGAUGAGGAGCUUGCUCCUCUGACGUUAGCGGCGGACGGGUGAGUAACACGUGGAUAACCUACCUAUAAGACUGGGAUAACUUCGGGAAACCGGAGCUAAUACCGGAUAAUAUAUUGAACCGCAUGGUUCAAUAGUGAAAGACGGUUUUGCUGUCACUUAUAGAUGGAUCCGCGCCGCAUUAGCUAGUUGGUAAGGUAACGGCUUACCAAGGCAACGAUGCGUACCCGACCUGAGAGGGUGAUCGGCCACACUGGAACUGAGACACGGUCCAGACUUCUACGGGAGGCAGCAGUAGGGAAUCUUCCGCAAUGGGCGAAAGCCUGACGGAGCAACGCCGCGUGAGUGAUGAAGGUCUUCGGAUCGUAAAACUCUGUUAUUAGGGAAGAACAAAUGUGUAAGUAACUAUGCACGUCUUGACGGUACCUAAUCAGAAAGCCACGGCUAACUACGUG
rnacentral:rRNA from 1 species